UACGUAGGGGGCAAGCGUUGUCCGGAUUUAUUGGGCGUAAAGAGCGUGUAGGCGGCUUUGCAAGUCGGGUGUGAAAGCCCUCAGCUCAACUGAGGAAGUGCGCCCGAAACUGCAGAGCUUGAGUGCCGGAGAGGGUGGCGGAAUUCCCCAAGUAGAGGUGAAAUUCGUAGAUAUGGGGAGGAACACCGGUGGCGAAGGCGGCCACCUGGACGGUAACUGACGCUGAGACGCGAAAGCGUGGGUAGCAAACAGG
rnacentral:rRNA from 1 species